rnacentral:rRNA from 1 species
AGCGAACGUUAGCGGCGCGCCUAACACAUGCAAGUCGCACGAGAAACGGAGCAAUCCGCGGUACAGUGGCGCACGGGUGAGUAACACGUGGAUGACCUUCCCUGGAGUGGUGGAUAACCUGCCGAAAGGCGGGCUAAUACAGCAUGGGACCACGACGCUUUGGCGAUGUGGUGAAAGCGGGCCUCUAUAUAUAAGCUCGCGCUCCGGGACGGGUCCGCGUCCCAUCAGCUAGUUGGUGAGGUAACGGCUCACCAAGGCUUCGACGGGUAGCUGGUCUGAGAGGAUGGCCAGCCACACUGGAACUGAGACACGGUCCAGACUCCUACGGGAGGCAGCAGUGGGGAAUCUUGCUCAAUGGGCGAAAGCCUGACGCAGCGACGCCGCGUGGGUGAAGAAGGCC